rnacentral:rRNA from 1 species
AUGGUAUCAGAUACCCGCGACCAGAACCCUUUUUCUCCGGUCGCCGAUUCCGCUUCCGCCAUGGACGACAACCCCGUCCUCUCCCCUCGUUCCUCUGUCGACGGUGCGGCCGGCGUCCUCAACGCCGCUCCUCUCCAGCACGUCGACCCACCCGCGCCGGCCGCGCCCGCCGCGCCACCUCCCUCCUUUCCCUCCGCCAUCCUCCAGACCGUCGACAUCCGUCGCCAUGUUCCUGUCAUCCUCGAUCUCCUCGCCGGCAACCACGCUCAGUGGCGGCGCCACUUCGACACGGUGCUUGGCAUGUUCGCCCUACGUGCGCACGUCGACGCCGAGGCGGUUCCACGCCCCACCGACCCCGAGUGGCAGAUGGCCGACCACACCGUCAUCCACUGGCUGUAUGCCACCAUCUCGCCGGAGCUCCUCGAUGCGAUCAUGCAGCCCGAGGACACGGCCCGCACCGUGUGGCUCGCCGUCGACGAGCUCUUCCGCAACAACCAGAUGGCCCGCGCGGUGUACGUCGACGCUGAGUACCACGCCAUCGUCCAGGGCGACAUGACGGUGAUGCAAUUCUGCACCAAGCUCAAGACCUUCGCCGACCAACUCCGUGAUCUGGGCCAGCCGGUAACUGACCCACGGCAGGUCUUCCAUCUCCUCCGCGGCCUCAACCGCCAGUACCACGCCGUCAUCCCGCACAUCACCUGCCAGAACCCGCUCCCGACGUUUCUCCAGGUGCGCUCCUUCCUUCUUUUGGAGGAGCAUCGUGCUGAGCAGGCGGCUCGGCAGCAGUCUGCCCACGCUCUCUACGCUGGGCGCGGCUCCCCCGCACCUACUACACCAACUCCUUCGCCGCUUGCAGACGCCGCGCGUGGCCGUGGCCGCUCGCGCCGUCGCGGCCGCGGGAACGGCAACGCCCCUGCACCACCCACUGGCGCGCCACCGCGUCCACCUACCUACCCGCGCCGGCUCCUGGUGCCAACUCCUAGACGGGGCUCGUCCAGGCCUGGCCCACGCCCUGGCGCGCUCCGGGCGCCGGCAUCCUCGGACCGCGCCCCGGCACGCCUCACCAGCAGGCCAUGUUCGCUGCGCCUAUGCCGCCCGGCUACGGCGCCCCUGGUGGACCGCCUCCUGGCUACGGCUAUCCUGGCGGCCCCUUCCAUGGCUAUGGCUCCCCGGGCGCCAGCUCGUCCACCGCGCCGUCGCCUCAGCCAUGGGACAUGCAGUCCCUCCAGGCGGUGCUCCACAGUGCCACGGCCGGGCCUUCUUCGUCGGGCAUGGCUUCCGAAUGGUACCUCGACUCCGGGGCCUCCUCUCACAUGUCCUCAUCGCCUGGACCUUCGAACCAAGGUGGUGAUCCUCCGAUGUGACUCUGACGGUGAUCUCUACUCUGUUGGUCGCCCGACGCUCCCCUCGCGUUCGGCCUUCGCCGGUUUCGUCGACUCCACCUUGUGGCAUCAGCGGCUCGGGCACGCUUCGCUCCGUCUGGGCGCCGAUCUUCUUAGCUUCAGCAAGUCCACCCCCCAUUCGUGUCAUGCAUGUAGUUUGGGCAAGAACGUCCGCCUGCCAUUUAGCAGCUCUACCAGCACCAGCAUGUUUCCCUUUCAUGUACUGCAUCUUGAUGUAUGGACAUCUCCUGUUGCGAGCAUCUCUGGCUAUCAGUUUUAUUUGGUUGUGCUAGAUGACUACACACAUUACGUGUGGAUGUUUCCCCUCAAACACAAAUCGGAAGUGCUCCCUGUUUUGCUUGAUUUCUACGCUUAUGUCAAAACACAGUUUCAGCUUCCUGUUUUCUCGCUCCAAACCGACAACGGGCGUGAAUUCGACAAUGCUGCCGUUCGGUCUCUCCUUAGUCGCCACGGCACUCAUCUCCGGCUCUCGUGUCCUUACACAAGCCAGCAGAACGGGAAGUCCGAGCGCAUCCUCUGGACGCUCAAUGACAGUGUGCGUGCUCUCCUCUUUCAUGCAUCCAUGCCGGCGCGUUUUUGGGUCGAAGCCCUCAACACAGCCACCUAUCUUCUCAAUCGCCGGCCAUGUCAUGCUAGCACACCACGCACGCCCCAUGAGCUUCUCCUAGGUGUCGCUCCUGACUACUCCCUCCUACGCGUCUUCGGGUGCCUAUGCUAUCCAAACCUCACUGCCACGGCCAAACACAAACUUGCUCCUCGCUCCACCGCGUGUAUCUUUCUUGGCUACCCGUCUGACCAUCGCGGUUAUCGGUGUUUCGACCCCACGACGCGCCGCAUGCUCACGUCUCGCCAUGUGCGCUUCCACGAGUCGAUCUUCCCCUUCGCCACACAACCCACAGUUAACCCCGCCGCUCCACCACCGCCUGCGUUUGCUCCUCCCGUUUUGCAGGUUCCUAUGGGUGAGCGGCGCCUCCGUAAUCGCGCGCUGUGCUCUUCUCCACGCAUGGCUGCUGGCUCGUCGCCGGUGCGCUCCACGUCGAGUGCCUCGCGCGCGCAUGCCGCGCGUUCAAACUCGCCCGCUGGAUCUCCAUCGGACGGCUCGGGCGCGGACCCACGCCCCCUCGCCAUGCAGUCACGUAGGAGCGCUAACCUGUCGGGCGCUGCCUCGACCUCGCGCUCCCGCCUCCCCGCCAUGCAGUCGCUGGGGGGCGUUGAUCCUUCGAUGGACGGCUCGGCUGCAACCUCCUGCUCCACCAGCGUCUCGCCUGCCUCCCCAGUGCGCUCUUCGUCGUCUUCCUCGCCCGCGGCUUCUCCUCCGGCCGCUCCUCCUGCAGCGCCCCGGCGGAUGGUCACGCGCGUGCAGACUGGCGUCUUCCGCCCCAAUCCGCGCUACCACAACAGCCUCGCCGCCACUACAAGCACGUCCGGCGAGGUUUCGCCGGUCCCUGCCUCCGUAGGCGUAGCCGUCCGCGACCCCAACUGGCUCGCCACCAUGCGUGAUGAGUUCACCGCCCUUGUGCGCAACCGCACCUGGGAGCUCGUGCCACGUCCGCCCGGCGCCAACCUCAUCACCGGCAAAUGGGUCUUCAAGCACAAGUACAACGCCGACGGCUCCCUCGAGCGCUACAAGGCCCGCUAG